rnacentral:rRNA from 1 species
ACACAUGCAAGUCGAGCGGAAACGAGAAUAGCUUGCUAUUCGGCGUCGAGCGGCGGACGGGUGAGUAAUGCUUGGGAAUAUGCCUAAUGGUGGGGGACAACAGUUGGAAACGACUGCUAAUACCGCAUAAUGUCUACGGACCAAAGGAGGGGAUUCUUCGGAACCUUUCGCCAUUUGAUUAGCCCAAGUGAGAUUAGCUAGUAGGUAAGGUAAUGGCUUACCUAGGCGACGAUCUCUAGCUGGUUUGAGAGGAUGAUCAGCCACACUGGGACUGAGACACGGCCCAGACUCCUACGGGAGGCAGCAGUGGGGAAUAUUGCACAAUGGGCGAAAGCCUGAUGCAGCCAUGCCGCGUGUGUGAAGAAGGCCUUCGGGUUGUAAAGCACUUUCAGCGAGGAGGAAAGGGUGUAGAUUAAUACUCUGCAUCUGUGACGUUACUCGCAGAAGAAGCACCGGCUAACUUCGUGCCAGCAGCCGCGGUAAUACGAGGGGUGCAAGCGUUAAUCGGAAUUACUGGGCGUAAAGCGUGCGUAGGUGGUUUGUUAAGCAAGAUGUGAAAGCCCCGGGCUCAACCUGGGAACUGCAUUUUGAACUGGCAAACUAGAGUUUUGUAGAGGGUAGUGGAAUUUCCAGUGUAGCGGUGAAAUGCGUAGAGAUUGGAAGGAACAUCAGUGGCGAAGGCGGCUACCUGGACAGAGACUGACACUGAGGCACGAAAGCGUGGGGAGCAAACAGGAUUAGAUACCCUGGUAGUCCACGCCGUAAACGAUGUCAACUAGCCGUCUGUAGACUUGAUCUGUGGGUGGCGUAGCUAACGCGCUAAGUUGACCGCCUGGGGAGUACGGCCGCAAGGUUAAAACUCAAAUGAAUUGACGGGGGCCCGCACAAGCGGUGGAGCAUGUGGUUUAAUUCGAUGCAACGCGAAGAACCUUACCAUCCCUUGACAUCCUACUAAGUUACUAGAGAUA